CCAAUAGCGUAUAUUAAAGUUGUUGCAGUUAAAAAGCUCGUAGUUGAAUUUCGGGAUUCUACCGUCGGUCGGGCUACCAAGUCUGUACUGGUGUGUAGAAUUCCUACCUUCUGGGGAACCAUCAUGUUAUUAAUUUAGCGUGGUGGGAAACCAGGACCUUUACCUUGAAAAAAUUAGAGUGUUCAAAGCAGGCUUAUGUCUGAAUACAUUAGCAUGGAAUAAUAGAAUAGGACGGUGGCCCUGUUUUGUUGGUUUCUGAAUCACCGUAAUGAUUAAUAGGGAUAGUUGGGGGCAUUAGUAUUCAAUUGUCAGAGGUGAAAUUCUUGGAUUUAUUGAAGACUAACUUCUGCGAAAGCAUUUGCCAAGGAUGUUUUCAUUAAUCAAGAACGAAAGUUAGGGGAUCGAAGACGAUCAGAUACCGUCGUAGUCUUAACCAUAAACUAUGCCGACUAGGGAUCGGACGAUGUUAAAUUUUAUUGACUCGUUCGGCGCCUUACAGGAAACCAAAGUGUUUGGGUC
rnacentral:rRNA from 1 species